GAGACAUAAAGGAUCUGAACUUCAGUAGGUGCUGGGACCAGGUGUGUGAUUUUUUUUUUUUUCUUUUUAGAGCUGACUCCCUGGCAUAUAGAAGUUCCUAGGCUAAGGGGUAGGAAUCAGAGCUACAGCUGCCAGCCCACACCACAGCCAUAGCAAUGUCGGAUCCAAGCCGCAUCUUCGACCUACACCACACCUCCUGGCAAUGCCCUAUCCCUGACCCACUGAGCAGGGCCAGGGAUUGAACCCGCAUCCUCGUACUAGUCGAGAUUCAUUUCUGUUGUGCCACAGUGGGAACUCGAGGUGUGUGAUUUUUAAUUUAAAAAAAAACCCAUGAGUUCAAGUCCCAAUCUGGGUUUUGGCAAGGUUUGAAUCCUGGAUCUGUGGGUUUAAGUCCCAGUCUGAGUCUUGGCUGGGUUUGAGUUCCAGCAGGUGGGUUCGAGUCCCAAUCUGAGAUGUAUGGUUUUAGCAUGAGACUUGCCCUUCUUUCCCCUCCCUCACAUUCAUAGGGGGUGCUGUAGAACCUCCUGUCCCUGUUGUGCGGAACCCAGAGGUGACCCUCCACCAGUGACCAUUGGGUUCAGCCACUGUGCUCUGCAGGGUUCUGAGGAGGGUACUGCCUGACUAUGCUUCACUCUAGAAACCCUGAAGUGCUCCUGAUCCAUCUCAUGGGCCUCUGGCCUGCUUUCUUCUCCAGCUGCCCCAUGCUUAGAGGUCUUCUACUUGAGGUCUAGUGUCUCAGUGCCCAUUGGAGACUGGAGCUAUCCUGGAGCCUUGUCCUGGGACAGGCCUUCUAAUGCCUUAGGGCAGACCUCACAGAUGCCAGGCACUUGUUGAUUCGGCCCAGUGGGUUCCCAGCCUUUGUGAUUUUCGGUAUUUGCGGACACUGCCUGUUAUGGCUGCUGUGGCAACCAUUUCCUAACACUGAAGCCUUCAGACCCCAAGCUUUUCAAUCUAAUCAAACCUCUUGUAUGAACCUGGCUGGUUCCCAGCACCAUCCUGCCUUCAGGUAUAGUUUAUGGGCCAUACCUAUGUCUUUCUUCUAUUUUGCUGCCUGCAUGGGGGUGAGUUUGAAAUAAUUGCCAAAAUUAUUUGUAUAGUGUUAGGGGAAAAAAAUCUCAGAGGGGAACUGGGCAUCCCUAGUCUGUCUCUUCCUGGCACAUUUCUGGAGAACUAAGAGUUUGUUAUUCCUGGAAACAGGAUUCAUUUUUUGCUUAUUUUGGCCAUGCCCAUGGCAUGACAAGGUUCCCAAGCCAGGGAUCAAACCCAUGCCACAGCAGUGACCAGAGCCACUGUGGCAAUGCUGGAACCUUAACCCGCUGUGCCACAAAGGAACUCCAAGAUGGGAUUUUAAAAAAAAGGCUGUUGUGAGGGGUGGAGGGCAAGUACUGAGCAGCUACGCUUGCUGGGAGCUUUGUAUGUUUUCAUGUUUAAAAAUUUCAUAGUACUCACACAAGGCAAUGGAUAUUAUUAUUUUGUUUUACAGACAAUGAAAGUGAAACUCUGGUUGAGUAAGCGAGGGUGCUCUGGUGCUGGGAUUCAGAUCUGCAUUAUAUUCUAUCACAUAUUUGUCCUUGGAAUUCUACAUUUCUUGAAAUGCAGGCUCCUAACUUUUCUGGCUCUGGGAGGUGGUGUAUUGAACAUCUUUCAUGAUAAGUGGUAGGCAAGUGUUUUUCCUGAUGCUUUGAGUUGGAAAAAAAGCUCUGACCACACUUUGGAAAUGUACAUUUUUAGGUGCACUGGAAAGUUUUUAGUAGUUAAAAAAAAAAAAAAACCCACAAAACCAAAAACUAGCACUUCAGUUUUACACAGAGGAGGCAUUUUUGUCUCAGCAUUAUUAUAUGGUAUAAAAAAUAAUAGUACUGUCUUUUUCUUAACUGGGGGAAGGGUGCCCGUAGUAUAAACGUUCUAUAGCCUUGUUUGUGGCAUACUCAGCAAAUAAUCUUAAAUCACGAAGGUGGCUUUGUUGUUUUCUCACUGUGCCCUGCUGCCCCCUAUCGAGCCUGCUGUGAUGGGUAGAAUGUGUUGGAGGUGCCUGUUCAGGGGCUGGCUGCCAGCGGGAGCAGGUGUAAGCCACACCGAGGCCUCCCUGCUCUGGCCGUAUGUCAUAGAAGGCUGGCUGCUCUGGAUUGAUGAACCCUCAGUGAAGGCAGAUGUGCAGGCUUUUUCAAGGCCCUUCCAAAAGAGAAAACACAAAGCCUUCUAUUGAUUAAGGUAAAGUCAAAAUGUGUUUCGCCCGGAGACAGCGGUUUAGAUUGAGUUUGUAAUGAAUGUGGUCCUCCAAUCCAGGGGGUUUUUCUUUAAACCUUUUUUAGAUUCCAUAGUCUUUUGAAAAGCUGAUAAAAGUGAUUGAGCUUUUACUCUAGGGAAAACACACACAUAUGUAUGUACAUACAAACAAAAUUGUGUAUACUUUCAAGGCGUACAUGAAGCCCCAGGGGUUUGAGGACCCAAACUAACCCCUCCCUCUAGGGUAUCUAUUCUAGUUUUCUUUCCUUUAUGAGAACACAGUGCCUUCCUGGCCUGUAGUUAUAGAAAACUAUAUUUAUUGUGGCAUUCAUAAAAAUGAAAUCCAUCUGGGAUAUUCCUAUUAGUUUGGCACUCUACUGCAUAAAAAUUCACUAUUUAAGGAGUUCUUGCUGUGGUGCAGUGGGUUAAGCAUCUGCCUGCAGUGGUUCAGGUUGCUGAGGAGGCAUGGGUUCCAUCCCCUGCCUGGUGCAAUGGGUUGAAGGGUUCAGCAUGGCUGCAGUUGUGGUUCAUUGCUGCUGAGGUUCGAUCCCUGGCCUGGGAACUUCCAUAUGCUGUGGGUGUAGCCAUAAAAGAAAAAAGAAAAAAAA
rnacentral:lncRNA from 9 species